AGCGAACGCUGGCGGCAGGCCUAACACAUGCAAGUCGAACGAACCCUUCGGGGUUAGUGGCGGACGGGUGAGUAACACGUGGGAACGUGCCUUUAGGUUCGGAAUAACUCAGGGAAACUUGUGCUAAUACCGAAUGUGCCCUUCGGGGGAAAGAUUUAUCGCCUUUAGAGCGGCCCGCGUCUGAUUAGCUAGUUGGUGAGGUAAUGGCUCACCAAGGCUACGAUCAGUAGCUGGUCUGAGAGGAUGAUCAGCCACAUUGGGACUGAGACACGGCCCAAACUCCUACGGGAGGCAGCAGUGGGGAAUCUUGCGCAAUGGGCGAAAGCCUGACGCAGCCAUGCCGCGUGAAUGAUGAAGGUCUUAGGAUUGUAAAAUUCUUUCACCGGGGACGAUAAUGACGGUACCCGGAGAAGAAGCCCCGGCUAACUUCGUGCCAGCAGCCGCCGUAAAAC
rnacentral:rRNA from 1 species